GACGAACGCUGGCGGCGUGCUUAACACAUGCAAGUCGAACGGUGAAGCGAGUGCUUGCACUCGUGGAUCAGUGGCGAACGGGUGAGUAACACGUGAGUAACCUGCCCAUCACUCUGGGAUAAGCACUGGAAACGGUGUCUAAUACUGGAUACGACCAACCCUUGCAUGGGGUGUUGGUGGAAAGAUUUAUCGGUGAUGGAUGGACUCGCGGCCUAUCAGCUUGUUGGCGGGGUAAUGGCCCACCAAGGCGACGACGGGUAGCCGGCCUGAGAGGGUGACCGGCCACACUGGGACUGAGACGCGGCCCGGACUCCUACGGGAGGCAGCAGUGGGGAAUAUUGCACCAUGGGCGAAAGCCUGAUGCAGCGACGCCGCGUGAGGGAUGACGGCCUUCGGGUUGUAAACCUCUUUCAGCAGGGAAGAAGCGAAAGUGACGGUACCUGAAGAAGAAGCACCGGCUAACUACGUG
rnacentral:rRNA from 1 species